GUGUCAGCCGCCGCGGUAAUACGUAGGUGGCAAGCGUUGUCCGGAUUUACUGGGCGUAAAGAGCGCGCAGGCGGCUGGUCAAGUCCGAUGUGAAAUCUCCCGGCUCAACUGGGAAACUGCAUCGGAAACUGAUCGGCUUGAAGGUGGGAGAGGGUAGUGGAAUUCCCGGUGUAGUGGUGAAAUGCGUAGAUAUCGGGAGGAACACCAGUGGCGAAGGCGACUACCUGGCCCAUUCUUGACGCUGAGGCGCGAAAGCUAGGGGAGCGAACGGGAUUAGAAACCCUAGUAGUCC
rnacentral:rRNA from 1 species